AUUGAACGCUGGCGGCAGGCCUAACACAUGCAAGUCGAGCGGAUGAAGGGAGCUUGCUCCUGGAUUCAGCGGCGGACGGGUGAGUAAUGCCUAGGAAUCUGCCUGGUAGUGGGGGAUAACGUCCGGAAACGGGCGCUAAUACCGCAUACGUCCUGAGGGAGAAAGUGGGGGAUCUUCGGACCUCACGCUAUCAGAUGAGCCUAGGUCGGAUUAGCUAGUUGGUGGGGUAAAGGCCUACCAAGGCGACGAUCCGUAACUGGUCUGAGAGGAUGAUCAGUCACACUGGAACUGAGACACGGUCCAGACGCCUACGGGAGGCAGCAGUGGGGAAUAUUGGACAAUGGGCGAAAGCCUGAUCCAGCCACGCCGCGUGUGUGAAGAAGGUCUUCGGAUUGUAAAGCACUUUAAGUUGGGAGGAAGGGCAGUAAGUUAAUACCUUGCUGUUUUGACGUUACCAACAGAAUAAGCACCGGCUAACUUCGUG
rnacentral:rRNA from 1 species